rnacentral:misc_RNA from 1 species
GUGAAGAACGUAGCGAAAUGCGAUAAGUAAUGUGAAUUGCAGAAUUCAGUGAAUCAUCGAAUCUUUGAACGCACAUUGCGCCCGCCAGUAUUCUGGCGGGCAUGCCUGUUCGAGCGUCAUUUCAACCCUCAAGACCCCUUCGGGGGACUUGGUGUUGGGGACCGGCACAGGGGCCUGCCUGCUUGUCUUGCAGCGCCCUCGCCGCCCCCGAAAUGAAUUGGCGGCCUCGUCGCGGCCUCCCCUGCGUAGUAGCACAACCUCGCAACGGGAACGUGACGGCGGCCACUGCCGUAAAACAACCCCAAUUUUAUUAGAGUUGACCUCGAAUCAGGUAGGAAUACCCGCUGAACUUAAGCAUAUCAAUAAGCGGAGGA